UUGCAAUUUAAAACCUUUAUAAAGAGUUGUUGGCCACGAUCCCAGGAAUUAAGUAACCUUUGGAAAGCUGUGCAGUGGACCGAGGCAGCAGCAGUCACCACAGGUGGCAUCCUGCAUCCACCAGAGUAGAAAAGAAGGAAUAGGAAAGCAUUUUAGAAGUGUUGUUGUCACAUCUUCAUUUCUCUUCCCUCUCUACAUUCUUGAGAUAUGACUUCUGCUAUCUUCCUGGCCAUGCUCUGCUUGGGAAUGGCUUUACCAUCACCAGCACCUGAUCCCAUUUUGGAUGUUGAAUGGCAGAAAUGGAAAAUAAAAUAUGGAAAAGCAUACAGUCUGGAGGAAGAAGGACAGAAGAGAGCAGUAUGGGAAGACAAUAUGAAAAAGAUCAAACUGCACAAUGGGGAGAAUGGCCUGGGGAAGCAUGGUUUCACCAUGGAAAUGAAUGCCUUUGGUGACAUGACACUUGAAGAAUUUAGGAAAGUGAUGAUUGAAAUCCCAGUCCCAACUGUCAAGAAAGGGAAAAGUGUCCAGAAACGUCUGUCUGUUAACCUGCCCAAGUUUAUAAACUGGAAAAAGAGAGGCUAUGUCACUCCUGUGCAGACACAGGGCAGAUGUAAUUCUUGUUGGGCUUUUUCUGUGACUGGUGCCAUAGAAGGACAGAUGUUCCGGAAAACAGGUCAACUGAUCCCUCUGAGUGUACAGAACCUUGUGGACUGUUCUAGGCCUCAAGGCAACUGGGGCUGUUAUUUGGGCAAUACAUACCUUGCAUUGCACUAUGUGAUGGAAAAUGGAGGUCUAGAGUCUGAGGCAACCUAUCCUUAUGAAGAAAAGGAUGGAUCAUGCAGGUACAGUCCAGAAAAUUCUACUGCUAAUAUAACAGGCUUUGAGUUUGUUCCAAAGAAUGAGGAUGCCCUAAUGAAUGCUGUGGCAAGUAUAGGGCCCAUUUCUGUUGCAAUCGAUGCAAGGCAUGCAUCUUUCCUGUUCUAUAAAAGAGAUUCUUGGGCCUCUCACUGCCUUAUGGAUUUUAUAUUUCAGGUAUAUAUUAUGAGCCAAACUGCAGUAGCUCUGUUGUCACACAUUCUAUGUUACUAGUUGGCUAUGGCUUUACAGGAAGAGAAUCAGAUGGCAGGAAAUACUGGCUGGUCAAGAACAGCAUGGGUACACAAUGGGGCAAUAAAGGCUAUAUGAAGAUUUCCAGAGACAAGGGAAACCACUGUGGAAUUGCUACAUAUGCCCUUUACCCCAGAGUGUGAACUACCUGGUGCUGACAAGGAAGGAAUGGACAGAAGACACCAUGUAGAGAAGAGGCACUUCCAUUUCAAAAUAACAGGCCACUGCUGUGUAUAUAAAACACUACAGUUAUUGAAAAGUCAGUUGUGAUGUGAAUUUUGUGAUAUACUUAUUCUCGUAAGUCAUGACCAUUACUGUAAUUGAGACCAUACACAGAUUUGUAUUUGAUUUCUAUAACAAUUUUUAAAAUUAAUUUGGAUUUGUCAGUAAUAUGUUGUUCUAAGGAUGUGUCAGGAAAAUAGCAAGCCAGGGGAAAAGUCAUUACACAUUGCCAGAAUCUUGCAGUUCAAAGUCCAUGUGCAGGAAAAUAAACCUUGGAGAUGAAAAUGUGUUUAGUGACACUGAAGUAGCAUUUUGUACAUUUUUUAAUUAAGAAGGUAAAAACACCUCUGUAAGAUAAUGUUUUUAAUUAGAGAUUCAAUGUAAGCUAAUUUGAAAUAUAUGCCAAUGUCUUCAUUAUAUUUCAACACAGACAACCUAAACAAAAUUGAAAUCUUGCAGAAGGUUUUGAAAAAGGUUAUUUGUCUUAAAAUAACUUGAAUGUAGUUUAUAAAGCCUUUGUUCAUUUGUACCUUGUUAAAUGGAGAUAGACAAAUGUGAAACUCCCCAGAACAUGCCACAUCCCUUAAUGGGGAUCCCAAAUGAGACCUGAGGUGAAAGACAUUGAAGAAAGAGGCCCCAGGAUGAGGGUGCUAUCCCAGUGUUAGAGUGCUUGUUCAGCAGGUGCACCCCCUACUACCAAAAACACAAGAAUGAAUAAAAGGUGGUCUCUGUCUCUC